rnacentral:rRNA from 1 species
UACGUAGGGCGCAAGCGUUGUCCGGAAUUAUUGGGCGUAAAGAGCUCGUAGGCGGCUUGUCACGUCGGGUGUGAAAGCCCGGGGCUCAACCCCCGAUCGGCCGUGCGAACUGCGGGGCUGGAGCACUGUAGAGGCAGGCGGAAUUCCGGGUGUAGCGGUGGAAUGCGUAGAGAUCCGGAAGAACACCGGUGGCGAAGGCGGCCUGCUGGGCAGUUUUGCUGACACUGAGGCGCGACAGCGUGGGGAGCAAACAGG